rnacentral:rRNA from 2 species
AUUAUGCACUCGAGCGGACACACGGGAGCUUGCUCCCUGAUGUUAGCGGCGGACGGGUGAUUAACACGUGGGUAACCUGCCUGUAAGACUGGGAUAACUCCGGGAAACCGGGGCUAAUACCGGAUGGUUGUUUGAACCGCAUGGUUCAAACAUAAAAGGUGGCUUCGGCUACCACUUACAGAUGGACCCGCGGCGCAUUAGCUAGUUGGUGAGGUAACGGCUCACCACGGCCCGAUGCGUCCCGACCUAGAGGGUGAUCGGCCACACUGGGACUGAGAACCGGCCCAGACUCCUACGGGAGCCACCCCCCGGAAUCCUCCGCAUUGGACCAAAGUCAUCGACGGAGCAACGCCGCGUGAGUGAUGAAGGCUUUCGGAUCGUAAAGGCUCUGUUGUUAGGGAAGAACCAGUACCGUUCAAAUAGGCUGGUACACUGACCGCACCUAACCAGAAAGCCACGGCUAACGACGCGCACGCACCCGCGGAAUACGUAGGUGGCAGCGUUGUUCUGAUUAUUGGGCGUAAAGGGCUUGCAGCGGUUUCUUAAGUCUGAUGUGAAAGCCCCGGCUCAACCGGGAGGUCAUUGGAAACUGGGGAACUUGAGUGCAGAAGAGGAGAGUGGAAUUCCACGUGUAGCGGUGAAAUGCGUAGAGAUGUGGAGGAACACCAGUGGCGAAGGCGACUCUCUGGUCUGUAACUGACGCUGAGGAGCGAAAGCGUGGGGAGCGAACAGGAUUAGAUACCCUGGUAGUCCACGCCGUAAACGAUGAGUGCUAAGUGUUAGGGGGUUUCCGCCCCUUAGUGCUGCAGCUAACGCAUUAAGCACUCCGCCUGGGGAGUACGGUCGCAAGACUGAAACUCAAAGGAAUUGACGGGGGCCCGCACAAGCGGUGGAGCAUGUGGUUUAAUUCGAAGCAACGCGAAGAACCUUACCAGGUCUUGACAUCCUCUGACAAUCCUAGAGAUAGGACGUCCCCUUCGGGGGCAGAGUGACAGGUGGUGCAUGGUUGUCGUCAGCUCGUGUCGUGAGAUGUUGGGUUAAGUCCCGCAACGAGCGCAACCCUUGAUUUUAGUUGCCAGCAUUCAGUUGGGCACUUUAAGGUGACUGCCGGUGACAAACCGGAGGAAGGUGGGGAUGACGUCAAAUCAUCAUGCCCCUUAUGACCUGGGGUACACACGUGGUACAAUGGACAGAACAAAGGGCAGGGAAACCGCGAGGUUAAGCCAAUCCCACAAAUCUGUUUUCAGUUCGGAUUGCAGUUUGCAACUUGAAUGCGUGAAGGUGGAAUCGCUUGUAAUUGCGGAUCAGCAUGCCGCGGUGAAUACGUUUCCGGGCCUUGUACACACCGCCCGUCACACCCCGAGAGUUUGUAACACCCGAAGUCGGUGAGGUAACCUUUUAGGAGCCAGCCGCCGAAGGUGGGACAGAUGAUUGGGGGAAGUCGAACAAGUGCAUGGU